rnacentral:lncRNA from 1 species
CUACAUCUAAAGUGACACUAAGCUUUUUGUUAUAUUGAUGUCCAUGAACUUUAGCAGGAUCUUCCUCCUCAUUUCAUUACCGCCAUCUUUUUGUCGGUUUUUCCCUAUGACAUAGGCUCUCUAUAAAGUGGAGCAAAAAUGGUCCAUAGUCUGACCUGCAAUGUAUUAAGAAACAGUGUUACUAAAUUUUUCACCCCAAUAAAACAGACAAGUAAUUUCUGACAAUAAAACUCUUUAAAGGAAGUUUAAAGGUACUUACGAUGUUUUCUUUUGUUGCAGGCAGGAUAAGAUAUCCUUCAGCUUGUAUCUUGCUUGAUAAACGUUUUGGUCCAGCAUCCAUCUUCUUGUUCUUUUCUCUUCAGCACUCAUCAUAGAGUAACCGUCAACCACUAUGCCUUGGCUGUCCUGCUUGUCAUAGUUUUCCCUCCAUUCCUCAGGGUCCAAGCCUUGGCUGAGAGGGUAUUUGGUGGAAUCAUAUACGCGUUUGAUGAACACCAUAAUGUGCUUCACCUGUUGGGUCCAACACACAAGUAAAUUACAACUCAAACAAACUAAGAGAACAAGCAACAAACAAAAAGCAGGGUAAGAAGUUUACUGCCCCCCAGUAAACUUCUUACCCUAAUAAAUCAGUUACAACUCACCACUGCCUUUGCAUUCUGAAAGUGGUUGUUGGUGUCGGCAGAGUAAUCUUUCCUUGGUGGUAGCAUUGAGUUCAGGUGAUAGAAGCAUCGAGCUUCGUUGUUAAUCAGGACCAAGGUAUAGUGGUGGCUGACCCCGGGAUGUAUCAGAAUGAAAACUAGGUCCUUACUGAAGAUGGACCACAUAGGAUUAAUAAUAGAAAGCUCUAUAUCCAAUUCAUUACAUUUGAAUUCCCCCUGUUUUCCUCCUCCAACUAGGAACUCCUUCAGUUUUUGUUCAUGUACCACCGCCGUGCGCUGUAUUUAUAAAAACAAGUAGUAAGAUUGUGUUAACUGAAAAAAAGUAACGGAGGAGACUGCGGUGCUGCGGCACGCCGCUAUUUCAGGUUUGACUACGUACUUACCGCUGCCUCUAUGUCUAGGAAUCCGACCGAGACAUUCUUCUUUUCCAUUUCCUCCUUCAACAUUGCGAGGUACACCGUGAUGGUCUGCAUGUAUAACAUAUACAAGUCACAAAUAAUUAUAACAAAGAAUACAUCUUAGGUUACUCAAACAUCAACUUUAUUGCGGUUAGUAAGACCAGUAAUUUUUUCUCACAUUAAAUGUAAUCUCUCCUUCUUGAAUUAUUCUCUUCAAGUCAUCUUUGGUAAUGUCAAUGAUACCAUCACAACACUCCCAAUACCAGAAACUGUGCAGACACAAAUAAGUCAUAAGCAAGUCAAACCAGGGAACUAAUUA